rnacentral:rRNA from 1 species
UACGGAGGGGGCUAGCGUUGUUCGGAAUUACUGGGCGUAAAGCGCACGUAGGCGGCUUUGUAAGUUAGAGGUGAAAGCCCGGGGCUCAACUCCGGAUUUGCCUUUAAGACUGCAUCGCUAGAAUUGUGGAGAGGUAAGUGGAAUUCCGAGUGUAGAGGUGAAAUUCGUAGAUAUUCGGAAGAACACCAGUGGCGAAGGCGACUUACUGGACACAUAUUGACGCUGAGGCGCGAAAGCGUGGGGAGCAAACAGG